UACGUAGGGGGCAAGCGUUGUCCGGAAUCAUUGGGCGUAAAGCGCGCGUAGGCGGCCCGGUAAGUCCGCUGUGAAAGUCCAGGGCUCAACCCUGGAAAGCCGGUGGAUACUGCCGGGCUAGAGUCCGGAAGAGGAGAAUGGAAUUCCUGGUGUAGCGGUGAAAUGCGCAGAUAUCAGGAAGAACACCCGUGGCGAAGGCGGCUCUCUGGGACGGUACUGACGCUGAGACGCGAAAGCCAGGGGAGCAAACGGG
rnacentral:rRNA from 1 species